GCACUGGUGGUUCAGUGGUAAAAUUCUCGUCUUCCAUGCAGGAGGCCCAGGUUUGAUUGCUGGCCAAUGCA
rnacentral:tRNA from 1 species